rnacentral:rRNA from 1 species
CAGCCGCCGCGGUAAUACGUAGGUGGCGAGCGUUGUCCGGAAUCAUUGGGCGUAAAGGGAGCGCAGGCGGGCAUGUAAGUCUUUCUUAAGAGUUCGGGGCUCAACCCCGUGAUGGGAAAGAAACUACAUGUCUUGAGUACAGGAGAGGAAAGCGGAAUUCCCAGUGUAGCGGUGAAAUGCGUAGAUAUUGGGAGGAACACCAGUGGCGAAGGCGGCUUUCUGGACUGCAACUGACGCUGAGGCUCGAAAGCCAGGGGAGCGAACGGGAUUAGAUACCCCCGUAGUCCCUGUCUCUUAUACA